rnacentral:rRNA from 1 species
UGCAGUCGAACGCGCUCGGACCUUCGGGUCCACAUGAGUGAGUGGCGAACGGGUGAGUAACACGUGAGGAACCUGCCUCGGAGUACGGAAUAACCACGGGAAACCGUGGCUAAUACCGUAUGUCCUCUUCUGGCCGCAUGGCCGGAUGAGGAAAGCUUUUGCGCUCCGGGAGGGCCUCGCGGCCUAUCAGCUAGUUGGUGAGGUAACGGCUCACCAAGGCAUCGACGGGUAGCUGGUCUGAGAGGACGGACAGCCACACUGGGACUGAGACACGGCCCAGACUCCUACGGGAGGCAGCAGUAGGGAAUCUUGCGCAAUGGGCGAAAGCCUGACGCAGCCACGCCGCGUGAGGGAUGACGGCUUUCGGGUUGUAAACCUCUUUCAGCAGGGACGAAAAUGACGGUACCUGCAGAAGAAGCUCCGGCCAACUACGUGCCAGCAGCCGCGGUAACACGUAGGGAGCAAGCGUUGUCCGGAUUUAUUGGGCGUAAAGAGCUCGUAGGCGGUUCAGUAAGUCAGGUGUGAAAGUCCAAGGCUCAACCUUGGAACGCCACUUGAUACUGCUGUGACUAGAGUCCGGUAGAGGAGUGUGGAAUUCCUGGUGUAGCGGUGAAAUGCGCAGAUAUCAGGAGGAACACCGACGGCGAAGGCAGCACUCUGGGCCGGUACUGACGCUGAGGAGCGAAAGCAUGGGGAGCGAACAGGAUUAGAUACC